UUGGGCCUAUUCUUCAUCGGAUACGAGAGCAGGAAGAGCUUCUAUUCCAUCAACACAAGUUAUUCCAGCAACAGCUCUUACUGUAACAGAACUAGGACCGUCAACUCCAACUGUCCUUAUAGAUAGGCGAAAGCCACCUCCUUGACAGAUUACGGAGCUACCCAGCUUCUCUUAAUGCCAAGUAGUAGAAAAACCGCUUUCCCGAGCUGGCUUUAUCGAGUUAACGAGGUAACAAGCGGAACCUUGCGCAAAGACAUACCCGGCAUACUAAGAUGAAUCAUCUAAGUUCCCCGCCGUCUUGAUUGAUGAGCUCGAACAGCCGGUUGAUGGCAAUGAAUGGGUGAAGCAGGGAAGGCUCUGACUUUGAAGCCCGGGCUCAGGCAAUAAACAUAAAGAGGCGAUCAAGAAAGUCACGACUGUCUGUCCCUUCCUCAAA
rnacentral:lncRNA from 1 species